rnacentral:rRNA from 1 species
UACGGAGGGUGCAAGCGUUACUCGGAUUUACUGGGCGUAAAGCGCAUGUAGGCGGUUCGAUAAGUCUGGUGUGAAAUCCCUGGACUCAAUCCAGGACGUGCAUUGGAUACUGUCGAACUAGAGUACGGGAGAGGUGAGCGGAAUUCCAGGUGUAGAGGUGAAAUUCGUAGAUAUCUGGAGGAACAACAGAGGCGAAGGCGGCUCACUGGACCGUAACUGACGCUGAUGUGCGAAAGCGUGGGGAGCGAACAGG